GACAGAGGUGCCGAGCGUUAGGCGGAAUCACUGGGCUUAAAGCGUGUGUAGGCGGGACUGUAAGUACCUUGUGAAAUCCCACGGCUUAGCCGUGGAACUGCUUGGUAUACUGCGAUUCUUGAGCCACUUAGGGGCUACCGGAACAAAUGGUGGAGCGGUGAAAUGCGUAGAUAUCAUUUGGAACGCCAAUGGUGAAAACAGGUAGCUGGGAGUGUGCUGACGCUGAGACACGAAAGCCAGGGGAGCGAACGGG
rnacentral:rRNA from 1 species